AGGUUUCCGUAGGUGAACCUGCGGAAGGAUCAUUGUCGAAACCUGCCCAGCAGAGCGACCCGUGAACGUGUUCAACCUCAUGGGUGCUGGGGCGUUGCUCGGUGCCUCGUGUGCCAGCUCGCCCCUCUCCCAGGCAGGGGAGCGCCCACUUGUGGGUUGUUCCCCGGCUAACCAACGAACCCCGGCGCGUAAAUGCGUCAAGGAAUAUAAACUUUAUGUGUGUGCUCUCCUAUCGCCCGGUUAGCCGGGCGUUGGAGUGGUGCCAUGUCUUAACAAUAAACGACUCUCGGCAACGGAUAUCUCGGCUCUCGCAUCGAUGAAGAACGUAGCGAAAUGCGAUACUUGGUGUGAAUUGCAGAAUCCCGUGAACCAUCGAGUUUUUGAACGCAAGUUGCGCCCGAAGCCUCCGGCUGAGGGCACGUCUGCCUGGGCGUCACGCAUCGCGUCUCCCCCAUAUCCCACCUUGGUGGAGGGGAAGGAGGAUGGUUUCCCGCGACUCACCGGUCGCGGCUGGCCUAAAAUUGGAGCCCUCGGCAUCGGGAUGCCGCGGCGAUAGGUGGUGAACAAGGCCUCGGCCAAGCAAGCAACCCGUCGCGCAUGCCGUGCCAAUGUGGGCUCGAAGGACCCUUUGUCGUUGUCUUUAAGGCAACCAAACCGUUGCGACCCCAGGUCAGGCGGGGCUACCCGCUGAAUUUAAGCAU
rnacentral:misc_RNA from 1 species